UUCGGUAGUUUUGGCGAGGGGGAAACACCCGGUCCCAUCCCGAACCCGGAAGUUAAGCCCUUCAGCGCCGAUGGUACUGCAUGGGAGACCGUGUGGGAGAGUAGGACGCCGCCGGAC
rnacentral:rRNA from 1 species